rnacentral:rRNA from 1 species
UACGUAGGGGGCUAGCGUUGUCCGGAAUCAUUGGGCGUAAAGAGCGCGUAGGCGGCCAGAUAAGUCCGGUGUGAAAGUCACAGGCUCAACCUGUGAAUGCCGCUGGAAACUGUCUGGCUAGAGUCCGGGAGGGGCGAGUGGAAUUCCUGGUGUAGCGGUGAAAUGCGCAGAUAUCAGGAGGAGCACCAAUGGCGAAGGCAGCUCGCUGGAACGGAACUGACGCUGAGGCGCGAAAGCGUGGGGAGCGAACAGG